GCAUAUCAAUAAGCGGAGGAAAAGAAACCAACAGGGAUUGCCCCAGUAACGGCGAGUGAAGCGGCAACAGCUCAAAUUUGAAAUCUGGCCCCCUCGGGGUCCGAGUUGUAAUUUGUAGAGGAUGCUUUUGGCGAGGUGCCGCCCGAGUUCCCUGGAACGGGACGCCGCAGAGGGUGAGAGCCCCGUCUGGCUGGCCACCGAGCCUCUGUAAAGCUCCUUCGACGAGUCGAGUAGUUUGGGAAUGCUGCUCAAAAUGGGAGGUAUAUGUCUUCUAAAGCUAAAUAUUGGCCAGAGACCGAUAGCGCACAAGUAGAGUGAUCGAAAGAUGAAAAGCACCUUGAAAAGAGGGUUAAAUAGUACGUGAAAUUGUUGAAAGGGAAGCGCCUGUGACCAGACUUGGGCGCGGCGGAUCAUCCGGGGUUCUCUCCGGUGCACUUCGCCGCGUCCAGGCCAGCAUCAGUUCGCCGCGGGGGACAAAGGCUUCGGGAACGUGGCUCCCCCGGGAGUGUUAUAGCCCGUUGCGCAAUACCCUGCGGUGGACUGAGGACCGCGCAUCUGCAAGGAUGCUGGCGUAAUGGUCACCAGCGACCCGU
rnacentral:rRNA from 1 species